UUGCGGGGACCCGCACAAGCGGUGGAGGAUGUGGUUUAAUUCGACGCAACGCGAAGAACCUUACCUAGGCUUGACAUGCUGGCGAAAACCGUGGAAACACGGUCCUCCCGCAAGGGACGCUAGUACAGGUGGUGCAUGGCUGUCGUCAGCUCGUGUCGUGAGAUGUUGGGUUAAGUCCCGCAACGAGCGCAACCCUUAUUGCUAGUUACCAUCAUUAAGUUGGGGACUCUAGCGAGACUGCCAGUGAUAAACUGGAGGAAGGUGGGGAUGACGUCAAAUCAUCAUGCCCCUUAUGACCUGGGCUACAAACGUGAUACAAUGGCUGAAACAAAGGGCAGCGAAGCAGUGAUGUGGAGCGAAACCCAAAAAAGCAGUCUCAGUUCGGAUUGAAGUCUGCAACUCGACUUCAUGAAGUUGGAAUCGCUAGUAAUCGUAGAUCAGAACGCUACGGUGAAUACGUUCUCGGGGUUU
rnacentral:rRNA from 1 species